ACGGGUGAGUAAUACAUCGGAACGUGCCCUGUAGUGGGGGAUAACUAGUCGAAAGAUUAGCUAAUACCGCAUACGACCUGAGGGUGAAAGUGGGGGACCGCAAGGCCUCAUGCUAUAGGAGCGGCCGAUGUCUGAUUAGCUAGUUGGUGGGGUAAAGGCCCACCAAGGCGACGAUCAGUAGCUGGUCUGAGAGGACGAUCAGCCACACUGGGACUGAGACACGGCCCAGACUCCUACGGGAGGCAGCAGUGGGGAAUUUUGGACAAUGGGGGCAACCCUGAUCCAGCAAUGCCGCGUGUGUGAAGAAGGCCUUCGGGUUGUAAAGCACUUUUGUCCGGAAAGAAAUCGCACUUACUAAUAUUAGGUGUGGAUGACGGUACCGGAAGAAUAAGGACCGGCUAACUACGUGCCAGCAGCCGCGGUAAUACGUAGGGUCCAAGCGUUAAUCGGAAUUACUGGGCGUAAAGCGUGCGCAGGCGGUUGUGCAAGACCGAUGUGAAAUCCCCGGGCUUAACCUGGGAAAUGCAUUGGUGACUGCACGGCUAGAGUGUGUCAGAGGGGGGUAGAAUUCCACGU
rnacentral:rRNA from 1 species